rnacentral:lncRNA from 1 species
AUUCCACUCGGAUUUAGCUCUUUACAAUCUGAUUUUAAAAAACAAAACAAAACACUGUGUUAACAUUUGAGAAGAGUGAGCCUGUGUAAGGGCACUAUCAUAACAUAAAGGGAAACACUUGGAACUAUCUUUCAGGCCUCAGUCACUGGAGGUGUCAUUUCAGGAUAUUUGAGUUUAACUAAAGUGAAAGCUGAAAAUUUCAGGCUAUGGUAAGGAAGGAUUCUGCUGUUUUUCACAGAGUUUUUCUGAUGUUAUAGCUGUCCCCAAAGGAAGACAUUCAGUUUCUUCCCUGUUGGUCCCCUGCUCCUUUGUACUUCAUGGGACUUCUUAAGACAGAGGCUUUGCUGUUUGUUUAAAAUAUACUAGGUAGGUUAGAAAAAAAAAUAACUGAAUGUUGUUUAUCUGAAGGCAUAAAACCAUUGCUUUCUUAUUUCUUAUAACCAAAGAGGAAAUAAAGCAAAAUUUCCUUUUGUUGGAGCAUUUGUAUUGAAUGUGGGGACUUGCCUGUAUUGUCUUGUAAUGGUUAUCGCUGCCUUUUCGCCCACAGAGGCUAUCACAGGUUUUAGUCUGGGCUGUUUGUAUUCAGCAAGGUCAAGAUAAGUUUUAUCUCUACAGAUAAGUCAAGUGCAUUAGGAUCGAUAGGCAAUAGUAAAAUUCGCUGAAAAUAUUAUUGCCAAGUUCUUAAUGAUUUUUAAAGCUAUAAGCUUGUCAUGUGGAAUAUACCCAUACUGGUUUUUAUUUAUUUGAAUGGCACUAAAAGUGUCAUUAAUUAUGCAGGCUUUUUAAAGAGACAGGAACCGAUUAAAGUAGCGUUUGGGCAGCCGUGAGCCGUGAGCUCCAGUGUUAAACUGAUGAAGUAUGAGAAGCUGCUUGGUUUUCUUUUUAAAGAAAAUGCCAAGAGAACAAAUAUUAUAGAAGGCAUUUAUAAAUUAAAAACAUAACUUGAGUUUCCUUGUUAAAAUAAUCAUUUUUGACUUUGUAUAGAUAUCCAUCUUACCCAGGGGCCACGCCACAGAUUUUGGUUUCCUUAGCUGAGAAACUCUGGUGGGAAAGGAAACCUAUCCUACCCGUACGAGGAGCUGUGAGGAACCCUUUGUAAGAACUGCUGCUUGAGUGUGUGACAGGCAGAGAAGACAGGAAGGACACAGACUCAUUCACUGGUUUGUUUUUAACUCAGAGGAACACCCUUCUGAUACCUUUCUCAUAGAGUUUCGAGUCUGUUUGUUUCCAUUUUCUGCAGGUAAGACCACCAUCACCUUAGGGCAAAUGUACCUAGAAUUUAUUUUCUUUCUUGGUAGCAAUCCUGCUAGAUGCCCCCAUGCAGGGGCCACAUUACAGUUGGAAAGCACACGCUCUAGAGAAGUUACAUGUCUCGGUGGGCUUUCUUCUCCAGCGUUAUGUAACAACAACGCUUUGCAGACUUUACAGCCUUGGGAUUCCGUAUUUUGUUAUGGCUGUAUGAGUUUAUGCUUUUCAAUUUCUUAAAAUAUAUGUUCUUCGCUCUUGCUCCUUUAGAGAUCAGUCGGUGGCUUUUCCUUGCUUUAAGGGGACUUUUCCUCUCUUAGUGGAUAAUUGAGGUAAGGAGACUGGGACCAACUUCGGUGUUGAUUUCAGGUGUUCUUAUUCCUACACAGGAAACCGUGUCACUCAUUGCCCCAGAAUUGUGCCUCUUGUGUUCUUUCCUCCCUCCUUCUCUCUCAGUACUUAAUGCAUUUAUGUGACCACUUAAGUAAAAGUUAUAGAAAUACUUGGCACCCUUCUAGAAACUGUUAGCAUUUUCUUUAAAAAUUUCUAUAGAAGAUGAUCUUUGGGUCGUAUGCUUCUUAGUUCUGAUAGUGUGGCCCACACAGCCACCAGUGUAGCUACAGCAAUGUUUCCUCAACACACAUACAGAAAAAGCUGUGAUUUCUUUCUGGAUCCUCUAGACUGUGCUGUGAGAGGGAGAAAGCCCAAAGGCUGUGUGGCCUCACUGGCUGAAGGGCUGCUCUAAGCACUGGCGCUGGCGGGCACGCAGGGAGCCGUGGCCCCAGCUGAAAAGUUACGUGAAAGACAAGUUGGUGUCUCGUCUCAGAGUUAUCUUUGUGUGGCAGGCCUAAUGCAACACUAAGAGUUAGAGCUUUAAAAAUAGAACAAUGGUCCUUUUAAAAUAUAGUUAGUGUAGUGAAUUUACCCCCAAACUCUCCGGUGUCUCAUUAC